GACGUAGGGCGCGAGCGUUGUCCGGAUUUAUUGGGCGUAAAGAGCGUGUAGGCGGCUAGAUAGGUCCGUUGUGAAAACUCGAGGCUCAACCUCGAGACGUCGAUGGAAACCAUCUGGCUAGAGUCCGGAAGAGGAGAGUGGAAUUCCUGGUGUAGCGGUGAAAUGCGCAGAUAUCAGGAAGAACACCCGUGGCGAAGGCGGCUCUCUGGGACGUGACUGACGCUGAGACGCGAAAGCGUGGGGAGCGAACAGG
rnacentral:rRNA from 1 species